rnacentral:rRNA from 1 species
CUUGAGAGUUUGAUCCUGGCUCAGAACGAACGCUGGCG